UUCUUUUUUUUUUUUUUGCCAAACAGAUUUAUGGAUAUGAUGAACGGACUCUGGACCGAACACGCUGCGGGAUUCAGUCUCAACUAACAACUGUAAUGAAAUGCAUUUGCUGUAGAGGUUAUCUUGUACAGCAUUUGUGUCUGUAUGUGCAAGCGCAUAUGAGUGAGUGAGUGAGUGAGUGAGUGAGUGAGUGAGUGAUCAUAUGCAGGAUUUAAAUGGCAUUCAAAACACGUCAAAUAUGACACCAUUUUCUGCCAUGAUGAAUGUGUAAUCACACCGAGUCACUUUUCUUGUAAUUAAGUGUUUUACUGGUCUGCCAGUAGCAUCAUUUUAAUGUAUUAUGAAAGCAAGCAAUAUGAAAAAGA